UUCUGUUUUUUUUUUCGGUCUUCCUCCCUCCCCCUUUUUUUUUUCGCGACUUUUCUUCCUCUGGUUCUUCUCCCUGCAGUUCGCCGGUGUGCAGAUCGGAGGAGGGCUGGGCUGUUGCAGAUCACGGCCUGGGCUGCUGGGCAGGGCAGAGGGCUGCUGGGCUAUGCGGAGGAGGGCUGCUGCAGUGGGCUUGCUGCUGCAGUUUCGCCGGUGGUAUGGGUGCAGGGAAGCAGGCGGUGUGCUGAUCGGAGGAGGGCUGGGGCAGCAGUGGUGCGCGGGUUGCAGGAUGCGCGGGUUGCAGAAUUGUCGUGCUGAUAACAUGUUGUAGGAUGCAGGGAGGCUGCGCAGGAGGCUGGGCUGCUGGUGUAGUUCGACGUGGGCACGGGGGCGCUGCUGUUAGUCUGCCUCUCCUCCUUUUUUUUUUUGCUUUUUUUUUUUUUUUUUUUUUUGGGUUGGCGGCAGUGAAGAAGUUCUAGGGUUUUUUCUUCUGAAGUUAGGGUUAGAACUCGUGCUGAUAACGUGUUGUAGGAGAAUAGAAUUGUUUAUUAUUGAUAAUAGGAGCCCUUUAUAUAGGGAGUUUACAGAGUACACAAAAGGUAACAGAAUCGAAAUACAAUUAGUAUACCUAGGGUACUUUCCUAUUACAACUCUAACCCUAGUUUGUAGAGGCACACAUUAUGUCGAUAUCCUUCAACACGCCCAAUCUACAAUGUUCGGGAAGCCUCCAUGAGCGUCAACGUUCACUGUUACCCAAUUCUCAAAAUCAACUACAGUGAACAGUGGAAUUUUGCAGGAUAUUCAACACAAGUUUAGCUGGGUCUGGUACCGACUACCGACCAAAGAUUAGCAGCCAAGUCAUUCUGUACGGAAUGAUUACCACUAUAAAGUCUCAUCUAGCAACCCCGGCACAUUCCUUUCAUCCCUGGUGCUAUUUAGUUGAAGAUUUGCUGGAUUCCUGGUGAAUGAAGGUUGUCGAGGUGAUCAAGAUGAUAGAGAUUGAACUUGAAAAUACAUAAAUUUUGCCCAAGUUAUUUCAGGUGAUUGACGAUAAGUUUUGCAUCGUCAAAUUACAGUCAUGCUUUUAUAAUUUCAGGAGAGGCUAAACCAAGUGAUGGAGAAAAAGAAACAAUCUAGAUCACGCAUGGAGAUAAUGAACUCGCUUCAGAAAGAAGGGAAGGAGCAGCGUAGAACAUACAACAGAAAGAACACUGAUAAUAAUUUUUAUAAAAAGAACGUGAAUGCUCAUGAUGCCAAAUCAAAACUUGAUGACAGAAAAUCCUGAUCUCAUAAAUCUUUUAUGCUAAAAUUCUUUCCCAUGUAAGGCAGAACAUAUUAACUAAAACAACCCACAGAAUAGUAAAGAGGAAGCAGCAUAAGCACAUCAUGUGGUGCCCCUGUUACUGUCACCAAAGGUUUCAACCUUCACCAUGUCACUGAUGCUCUCUAUCGGAGGCAUCUUCAUCUCUACAGUUGGUCUGAAGAGAACAUUUGUGGGGGUGAACUUCUUAGGUUUAUCUUCAGACAAAUCUGAUGCAGAAGUUACCAUUUGUUGGACAAAAAAAGAGGAUUUCUCUACUACUGACAGCUGCAACGUUUCAAGUGGCUACAGUUGGUUCUCUAUUGAUCUAGCCAUUACCCAAGAAACAUUCCUAUGGAUGUCAGACCUUCUGCAUGCUAUGAUCUGAAUAAAGGCAUUGAAGGACGCUUGGGGAAAGACUUUAUCAAGAGAAUAAAAAUAAAAAUAAAAAGCUGGAAAAUCUCAUUAGCAUUAGCCACCAGAAGGUUGUAUCUUUCAGUUAUUAUUUUGCCUGGCCACAUAUGUAGGCAGUUGAGGAUGUCAAAUCCCACAGGGAAGGAACUCUGAUGAGGUAUUUCAAGAAGUUGCAGGAAGCCCUGCUGUUAGUGUAAGCGAAAGCUUCUUGAAUAAGAAAUCAAGUUGAAUGCAUGGAAAGAUGAUGAUGAUGAUCAAGUUGAGGAAUUACUUGAAAUUUAACUGAGAUAGGUCAGUUGCAUUCAGAGGAAUGCUUCUGCACAUUCCUUCAUGCUUUCUGAAUCCAUUUAAGGAUACCUUUACUAUUAAAAUAUUGAAGAAACCUUAAAUCUGAAAUUCUUUAUGUAAUGCUCCUCUUAUUAUU